ensembl:lncRNA
GGCAAAACAAAGAGAGGAGGUGACAUUAGUGAUCUGCCAACAGGAACUUUGAAUGGAUUGUUGUAGAGGAUGUUGUUACCGAUUGUUGUGACUAUGAAACACCACACCGCACACAGAAAAACUAGGCUUUUUGUGAAAUGCCAAUGUGUUUAAUGUUUUAGUUUAAAGACCUUAAUAAUGCAUAAAUAUCAAUUAUGUCACAAACAUAAGCAUAUUAGUUAUAAAUGAGACAUUAAUCCCAGUGUUCACAAGUGCACUAAUUACUACAUUUACAGUAGAUGCAUUCUCUCAUAGUAAAGAACCAACAGAGAAUACUAAAUGUGGUUUGUAGCUCAUUUCAGCUCAUUGUUCGGCUUCACAGUCUUAAUUCGGUUCAGCAUUACUCCCAUUCAUCUCAUUCAGAUCCACUACAGUACAUAAGAAUAAAAAUAUUAUCACACGUACAUGCUUUACAUUUUGGAACAGAACGCAUUAGCAGCAAGUAUUAGAGUUUUCUUACAGUACAUCAGAAUUUUACUUAAGUAACAAUUUUCUUCCUUUAAAAGCUGUUUCUACUACAUUUAAGCAGGGUUCAAUGAAUGAUCACGAGUCCAUGUCAUGUAGUAAACUUUUAGUCGACUACCUCAUUAGUGAACACGUUUAUUAAAUGUUCAGCUUUCCUAAAAACCACGCGUGAUGAUAAUUGCAUCAGAUGAUUGACAGGCAGCUGGAUAGGGGGCGGGGCUUAUGCGGCCGUUACUGACCUAAAUGGCAGCGUCACUGACGUGCAAUGGAAACUUAAUUGAGGCGCCCGCGUCCCCUAGGUUGGAAGUCAGCGAAAGACAGCGAAGUAGCCCAGAUCAUUCAUGGAAAGCCAUCUUCUAUAUUAAAAAUGCCACUGGUACUACAAAACAAGGCAAGGUGAAGCACGCUGUCAGUGGGUAUGGAAGGACUAUUCCAGGACUGGAGAGUGCUGUUAAAUAGGUGGCAACCAGUUCAUUAGGAUGCCUUUCAGAGCAUGAAAAAUGACCUUUUCCCUUGUAAUUGUAGUGUGGGUUCAUAGAUAGUUGACUGGAAGCAGAGCACACUGUACAUAGACAAGGAUCACUGGAAACAAUUAGCGUCGCAUCUCUGCCGGCAUCUCUGCAAGCAGCUCCGUUACCACUUUUUUACACCUUUUUGCUUAAAUGCCACUCUGACGUGAUCAUAUGUGACAGAUAAGUUAGACAAAUAUUAAUUUAAUUUAUUAAGGGGACUGCACUGAACCGCAUCUAAUGUAUGGAUGCAAAAAGCAAUGACAGCGCAAGCGUUUGUUCUCAUACACGAUACAGUAGUUCCUAAUGUUCUGCACUGUGAAGUUAUUUAUAUGCUGCAUGGACAUCUUUAAGUGAGUUGCAAUGAUUUGGAGAUUUAAUAUACAGUAAAACUGUUUAAAAAGCUAGAUGAUUUUGCAGCUUCAAUAUAAUGUUAGUUGCAGUAAAUACAGUGUUAGUAUUCAGUGUAUAUAUGACUUUUCUUCAUGCUCUUCGCAAUCUGAUAUUAAUAUAAACCGAGACUCUUUGGGGACUGCAGUAAAUCUGUGACACGUGGAAAGCAUCAGAAUUGUAUCAGUGUUUAGGUAGAAAUUCACUUAGUUUGUUUGUGUGUUGCCAUAUUCAGCUUAGGUAGCAGCUGCUGCACCACAGUGGGAGACUUCACAGUUUUGGAUCACUUUUCUUUCUUUGAAUCGCCAUAGCUGCCAUCAGAAGUGUCCCUCCUCGUUGGUGUUGUUUUGAUAAAGCAAAUGUGGUUGACGAGAGCAAAUAUUUAAGAUAUCUGCAAAUGUGAUGCACAUCUGUCAAACAGCCCAAGGGUGAAAACCAGCACAUAACAAGGCAACAAAUGCUGAUCCGGGACUUCUCUGCGGCAAAAUAAAAUAUGGCUCAAGUUUUCA